rnacentral:rRNA from 1 species
CAAGGUGAAGCCCGCGACUGAAGCUCCGGUAAACGGCGGCCGUAACUAUGACGGUCCUAAGGUAGCGAAGUUCCUUGUCGGGUAAGUUCCGACCUGCACGAAUCGUGUAACGACUGAACCGCUGUCUCGGAGAGGAUCUCGGCGAAAUUGUAACUGCGGUGAAGAUGCCGCAUGCCCGCAGUAGGACGGAAAGACCCUAUGCACCUUUACUGUAAGCUGAUAUUGUGUUCUGGUUCAUGAUGCGUAGCGUAGGUGGGAGGCGUUGAUGUUGCGGUUUAGGCCGCAAUGGAGCCGAAAUGUGAAACACCACUCUUUGUGAAUUAGGAUUCUAACCUCCGCCUGUUAGCCAGGGGAGGGACAGUGUCUGCGGGUCAGUUUGGCUGGGGCGGCUUCCUCCCAAAAAGUAACGGAGGAGCGCGAAGCUGGGCUCAACAUGGUUUGCAACCAUGUGUCGAGCGUAUGGGUAUAAGCCCGGUUGACUGCAAGACCUACAAGUCGAGCAGAUGCGAAAGCAGGCCCAAAUGAUCCGACGGUGGAAUGUGGAAUUGCCGUCGCUCAACGGACAAAAGGUACGCUAGGGAUAACAGGCUGAUCGAUUCCAAGAGUUCAUAUCGACGAAUCGGUUUGGCACCUCGAUGUCGGCUCGUCACAUCCUGGGGCUGGAGAAG